rnacentral:lncRNA from 10 species
CUAGAGUGAUACAUGAAGUAUUCAGGACACUUCUGAGAAAAGAAGGGGAGAACCAAGAAAAAUCUCUGCUACUAAAGCAUGAAGACUAUGAACAUGAAGGGAGAUGACCUCAUCUGUAAGAGUUAUAAAGAACAAAUUUAUUUCUCACAGUUCUGGAGGCUGGGUAGUUCAAGAUCAAGGUGCCAGCAUCUAAUGAGGACCUUCUUGCUGUGCCAUCUCAUGGUGGAAGUUAGAAGGAAACGAGAGCGUGAGAGAGAGAGAGAAAGUAAAACAAGGUGAACUCCCCCUUUCAUAGUCAACCCACAACUGAGAUAAUAAACUCACACUUGUGAUAAUGGCUGUAAU